CAAGUUUGUCUUACGUUUCUUCCUUAUGAGAUUCAGAUGACAUGUUUUUUGAAGGAAUCUCACAGAAGGGAUAUUUUUAUAGUGGACUGGGUUGCCUGUGUUUCGGGGCCUAACAGGAGCGUCUGGACUCCAGUCCCAUUGGGCCGCAUGGCAGUCACCCAGCAGAUUGCUGAUUUGCGGUGACCCUGGGUCUGUGUGCUGUCCUUAGUCGCUCAGUCGUGUCUGACUCUCUGCGACCUCAUGGAUUGUAGCCUGCCAGGCUCCUCUGUCCGUGGGAGUCUCCAGGCAAGAAUACUGGAGUGGGUUGCCAUGCCAUUCUCCAGGGGAUCUUCCCAACCCAACAGUCGAACCCAGGUCUCCCACACUGCAGGUGGAUUCUUUACCAUCUGAGCCACCAGGGAAGCCCAAGAAUACUGGCGUGUGUAGCCUGCCCUUCUCCAGGGGAUCUUCUCGACUCAGGAGUUGACCCCGGGUCUCCUGCUUUGCAGGCAGAUUGUCCACCAGCCGAGCUACCAGGGAAGCCCACCCUGCGUCUGUCACGUGCCAUUUUUCCAACUGCAUUUGCUCACUUCCUGUUUCUGUGUCAUAUUUUGAUAAUUCUCUCAGUAUUUCCAACUUUUUCAUUAUUGCUAUAUUUUUAUGGUGAUCAGUGGUCUUAGAUGUGACUAUUGCAGUUGUUUUGGGCACCAUGAACCACGCCCAUACUAGAAGGCAGAUUUGAUUCAUGAAUGUUGUGUGUAUUCUGACUGCUCCGUGACCAGGUGUUCUCCUGUCUCUCCUUCUCCUUGGGCCUCCCUGUUCCUGAGAUACAAUAUUGAAAUUAGGCCAGUUAAUAACCCUGAAGUGAUCUCUCGGUGUUCAAGUGGAAGGAAGAGUCAAACGUCUUUCACUUUAAAUCAAAAGCUGGAAACAAGCUUAGUGAAAGCCAAGGCAGGCCAAAAGCUAGUCUUCUCACACCAAACCAUUAGCCAAGUUGUGAAUGCAAAGGGAAAGUUCCUGAAGGAAAUUAAAUGGGUGCUCCAGUGAACACAUGGACGAUAGGAAAGUGAAACAGCCUUACUGCUGAUACGGAGGAAGUUUGAGCAGUCUGGAUAGAAGAUCAGACCAGCCACGUUCCCUGAAGCCAAAGCCUAAUGCAGAGCAAGACCCCUACUCUCUCCAGUUCUGCGAAGGCUGAGAGGUGAGGAAGCUGCAGAAGUGGUUCGUGAGGUUGAAGGAAAGACGCCAUCUCUGUAACAUAAUAGUGCCUGGUGACACAGUGCACCGUGCAGAAGCGCUAGCUCAGUUCAUGCGUGAUGGCCCUGCGGUGAAUAGCAGACGUUCAGUGCAGGCGAUGAGACAGCCAUUAAGAACAUUCAUGAUUCUUGGGAAGAGGUUCAAGUAUCAAAAUACACAGCCCUCAUGGACAACUUUGAGGGGUUCAAAAUACAGUGGCGGAAUUAGCUGCAGAUGUGGUGGGAACAGCAAGAGAACUAGCAGUGGGGCCUGAAGAUGUGGCUGAAUUGCCGCAAUUUCAUGAUCAAACUUGAAGAGGAGAUUCUCCUUAUGGAUCGACAUGGAAGUGGUUUCGUGAGAUGGAAUCCAUUCCUGUGAAGAUGUUGUUAAGACUGCUGAAAUGACAACAAAGGAUUUAGACUACGACCUCAACUUCGUUGAUAAAACAGGUUUGAGAGGACCGACUCCAAUUUUGAAAGAAGUUCUGUUGUGGGCCAGGUGCUGUCCAGCAGCACUGCAAGCUUCAGAGAAGCUGUUCACCAAAGUCAGUCACUGCAGCCAGCCUCACUGGUGUCUCAUAUUAAGAAACUGCUGCAGCCACCACCCUGUCGGUCAGCAGAUCAGUGCUGAGGCAAGACCCUCCACCAGCAAACAGAGGAGGACUCUCUGAAGGCCAAGGUGAUGAUUAGAAUGUUAAAACAAUGAAAUAUGUUUACAUUAAGGCACAUACAUUGUGUUUUCAGACAUAAUGUUAUUGCAUGCUCAACAGACUACAGCAUAGUGGAAAUAUAACUUCCGUAAGCAGCAG
ensembl:lncRNA